AUCCAGGCCUGUUCCAGUGCAGGAGGAAUUUCUGUAAAGGCUUAAUAAUCAGCUCGUGAUUCGCGUUUAUCUCAGACGGAGAGUGUUUUCUGGUCUACGAACGGUCGUUCACGUCCUAAUAUGCGCGAUCGAGCAAACACAAUGGUGCUUCUGAUCUCCUACGAGCAUUCCUGUCACGUUUGAUAAAUAGCACGGGCCGAGAUGUAAAUAAGCUCAUAAGCUUCUACUGUGAUAUCUGCAUAACUGAUCUAUAAAGCUUCACCGCUCCGGUGUACUCCUGAACGCAGACAUGCAGCGACACAGAGCGACUUUGUGUGACUUUUCCUGAACAGUGCGAACACGUUUAACACGGCGCUAACCUCCCACCUAACUCUCACCGUUAAUGCACAGAGACUGCCCGUUUUUCAUGUUACUGUACGUUUCUCUUGGCAGGUCAGUCAGGGCCUCUACUUUCUUCAAACCAGAAGUCAUUUUCUCAUUUCUCAUAAUUAAGAGUUAAUUGGGAGUGCACCUGUGGUUGUAUUUAAAGUGCUUACCUUUACAGCCAGUGCCUUUUAACCCUUGAUACCAUGAGACAAUCUGCGGACCUCCGCAAGUCCAGUUCCUCCUGAGAGGCAGGUACCACGGGCAUCUGUACAAACUUUGGCCCUAAAGAACAAGCUUUAGUCAAGUUAAGUUAAGGCUCUGUGUUACUGAUUAGAAGGUCGGGAGUUCAAGCCCCAGCACUGCCACAGUCUGGGUUGCUGAUCGGAAGGUCGGGGAUUCAAGCCCCAGCACUGCCACAGUCUGGGUUACUGAUCGGAAGCUCGGGGGUUCAAGCCCCAGCACUGCCACAGUCUGGGUUACUGAUCGGAAGCUCGGGGGUUCAAGCCCCGGCACUGCCACAGUCUGGGUUACUGAUCGGAAGGUCGGGGGUUCAAGCCCCAGCACUGCCACAGUCUGGGUUACUGAUCGGAAGCUCGGGGGUUCAAGCCCCGGCACUACCACAGUCUGGGUUACUGAUCGGUAGAUCCAGCACUGCCAAGCUGCCACUGUUGUGCCCUUAACCCUCUCUGCUCCAGGGGCGCUGUAUCAUGGCUGACCCUGUGCACUGACCCCAACCUCCUGACAUGCUGGAGGAAAGAAUGACAUGUGAAGAAAAGAAUUUCACUUUGCACAUGCAUAGGUGAUCAGUAAAGACUUUUACCCUAUCCAGUAAAGACUCAUUUCCAUUAUCCUUAGUCCUAAAGGUUCGACUGAACCCCUAGACAACAAAGGAACUGGUGACGGAACUGGAGGCAUCAAGUACCCAAAUAUGUACAGCCACCUUUAAGAGAUUCUUACAUCGCUAUGUCCUGAGAGGCUGUACGGAAGAAGCCACUACUCCAAGACAGGCAUUUGCAUUAGAUCAGCAGCAUUUCCUCAGGUCAAAUAAAACAUAAUGGGCCAUAAUGAUCAAUUGUGAAGCAUGGGGGUGGCAGCAUCAUGUUAUGGGGAUGUUUUGCUCGGAAAGGGGCUGGUGCAUUUAUAUAAAGUAUAACCUCAAGACAUAAGACAGAAAGUUAAAACUUGGGUCUUCCAGCAGAACAGUGAUCCUAAGCAUACGUCCCAC
ensembl:lncRNA